CUCAGCCAGAUCAUGGGUGGAUUAUGGAACCCGCGGAGCUCCAGUCUGCAUGAAAUGGAGCCAGCACAGGGCUAUGUCAGCCUGGACAAGAGGCAGGAGAAAGAAGCCACGCAGGGUCCCGAGCAGGGUCGGCCCUCAGCUGGCCUCGAAAGCUCCAGUGCAGUGAUCGCCAUCACAGCUGAGGGUUAAGAUGGGGCCCAGCUGCACCCUGGACCUGCUUCCGGGGAAGCCCAACUUGGACAGCACGUGCCAGGAGCAGUGUGACCAACUGGCCACAAAAACAGGACUUGGGAGUGCAUCCCCACCCCAGCUGGUGAGGAGAACCCAGGGCAGGGGCCAAGCAGGGGACAGGGAGCCCCUCUGAAGAGGAGCAGCAGUGUCAGAGAAAGUGGGGAGGAGGGGCUGAAGGAGGAGGAACCCCAUGACCAACCCAGGUACAAGGCAGCAACGGCCGGGAGUGCCAAGACCUGACAUGGGAGACCGUGUAGCAGUCAGCUUUCUGUCACUGGGACGCAACACUGACGCCCACAACUUCAAGGAGAAGUUUGUUUCGGCUCACGGUGUCAGGGGGGCUCAGCCCACAGACCAAAGGCUGCAAGGCGCAUGGUGGAAGGACCUGGUGCAAGGAGCUGGUGGAGGAAAGCUGCUCACCUGUGGCAUCCAGGAAGCAGAAAAAGGGGAGGGGCUGAAUUCACCUUUCCAGGCCUUUCCCCAGUACCCGCCUCCAGCCAGGGCCAGCCACUAACAGCACAGCUACUAAGUCCUCCACGCAUGAAUCCACUCACGCGUGUGGCACCCCCAGGACCCAGUUACCUUCCACGUGCAUGAGACGUUGGGGGACACUGCAGGUCGAAACCACAACAUCUGAGUUGAAUCUGAAGUCCUCCCACUCCACUGAACUCUAGAUCCUGCCAGCUUGGCCCGCUUGUCCCCGUGAAGGGCAGGUGCCCCAGCAGUCAGGUGUGCAGGGGGCUCCUCGCUCCAGGACGGCAGCUCCCCUCAGGGUGUGCCCCACCCGCUCCAGGCCACUAGGUGGAUGCCCCCGUUAGAUCACAGCGUAACUCACAGGCACCGUGAUGGAUCAGGCGCACUCCGUGGCCCAGGCCCAGAUCCCGCAGGCCCAGGGACAUGACGUCGGGGAUGUGAAGUGAAGCCCUUGGCGAGAGCUUUCCCGCCGUGCAGGAUGCUACACCCUGGUAAGGCCCGAAACCGACGCUGACACUGGCAGGGUGGCACGUAGAGGCUGGGAAGGGGGUGUGGACACCAGAACCGUGCUGACUGACCCAGGAAGGGCAGAGUCCCAGGCCAGCUGGUGACUGUGUCCCGCGGCAGUGGGCCUGCCCGGCACUCCUCCAGGGCUGGGAGUUAGACCUGGGAGCCAGGAGGCUCGGCCGAGGGCAUGCUGGGACAGGCACGCACAGGAGCCUGGGGGCUGCACGCGUCCCGGGCUGGUGAGUGAAGCCCCUCUGGACAGCAGCCAGCUCGGUCCCGGGCCACAGGACUGCACGGCCAGGAGCCUAGGACACCCAGCUGCUGCCACCGGGGAGGGUCCUGCAGUUCGCUCAGCCCCACCGCCCAGCACAGGUGAGACACCCAGGGCUGCGGCCAGAGCCAGGUGAGCGGGGGACGAGAGGGGCCCCUGCCUCCAUCCGGGUUCACAGCGUGCUCGGCCCAGGUGGCUGCAGCCACAGUGAGAAGCCAGGAUGGAGGGGGACAGCCCGCCCAGUCACAGCUGGGGAAUGGAGGGGCUGGGACACAAGCCAGGACCUGGACGGCCAGUGACAGCACUGCCUCUGGGGCUGCCUGCGUGACCAGGCCAGAGCUCGCUUCCUCCAGGGCCCAGCCUGCUGCCUGGCUGGUCCUUCCCAGCCCCCCGGACACCAGGAUCCCUUCUAAUCCCCGUCCCCUCGGUGUGACAUAGGGGACAGACCCCAUGUCUGCACUGCAGCUUUGUGGAUCCUGCAUUUCUAUCCUCUACCUCAGUAUCCCCAUGUCUGCCCCAGUGCAGAAGCACCAGGGACUUUAUGUAAACCAUCCGCCUUUGGUUUGAGAGCUGAGGACAGAACCCAGGGCCUGGUGGGUGCCAGGCAAGCGUUCUGCCACCCAGCAGCACCUCUGGCCCCUAAAUCCUCUUUUUAUUCUCACUCUCAGGACAUGGUCGUUGUGCCCAUUUUACAGAUGACAGCCGCAGGGCAGGACCUGCCCAAGACCUCCUGCCAAGGCGGGUGGGGCUUGAACCAGCUGUCUGCCCACCUGUGCUUCCUCCUCCUUUCUAGCCCUCGCUGGCGAGGCUGGGGGUCCCAGCUGUCCCUGCCUGGGCCGCCAGCAGCCGUGCUGUCCUGAAAUGGCCCGGACCAAAGGGCCUAGCUGCAGUUACUCAACAACAAUAAGGAUGAGUUGUUUGCGGUGGCUGUCAGCCAAGGCUGCAGCCGCCUGCCCACCUCGGAGGCGUCUGGGAGGGGCGUGGCCUCUCCGGGCUCCUGCACUGCAGACCCCAGCCGACCGCCCCUGCUCCAGACCUCGCCCUGCCUGCCGCCUGCUGCCCCUCCACACCCAACCCAGAGCUCACGGUGCCUGGAUCCCUUUACCCGCGCCCCUGCGCUGAGGACCUGGCUUCCCGUCCCACCCGAGAGAUGGCUGGGCAGCAGCCCUCCCUGCAUGUCCGAGUCCCCGCAGUGCCUUCAGAGAGCCUCCUCCCUGUUCCCAUCUGUGAGGCGGGGGCAGCUGGCUGCCCGGCACGUGACCCUGUGCGGCUGAAUACGGCUGGUGGUGGAUGCAAACCGCAGGCUCACGCUUCAGAAGGCCUCCGCUAACGGGGUUUUCCCCGCAUCCGCGGCUAUUUCCUCCCCACCAGGGUGGGCAGCAACCCCUCUUGCUGGAGCUCUGUCUGCGCCAAUCAGCCUGCUCCCUCCCUCCCGCUCCCUGAGUUGCGCCCCCCAUGUCUGAACCUCAGUCCACAUCCACUCCCCAGUCUGCAAGUAGGAGGCCCCUGGGGCAAGGUGGGACUUCAACACAAAGGGGUUGGGUUUUCGUCUGGGGCUGGGGCCGCUGCCGUUGGCACUGGUUCCUCAGCCCUAAGCCAGCCCCCGGGCCCCAGACUUCUCUUGGCUCUGUCCUCAUGGUUGCAAGAGUGCUACCGCGGCUCCAAACAUCCAGCCGACGUUCAAAGGCAGGAGGCAGGAAGAGGCCAGGGAGGGCCUCCCUCACACAGCUUCUCUUAUCAGGGGGGACAGAGUCUCCGUCCACACGUCUCACUGGCCAGAGCUGGUCCUGUGGCCCGUGAGCUGCGGAGUCCGGGAAAGAAGCCCCUCGAAGGGGGAAUGCUACCGCUCUGCCCAGCCACCAAUGGCAGAGACCUGGCUGGCCCCUCCUCCCAUCCCAAGGACUACGACGCCCCCCCGCUGCGGGAGGUCACCCCGUGCCACCUGCCCCGUGCACACCCCUGCUCUAUGCUGGUCUUGAUCCUCCUCCUUCCCGGGCCCAGCCCUCCUGCCCCAGGUGAUAAUUUUAAGUCCAAACUCUCCUCGGGCUCUCAAGGAAGCGCUGGCUCCAGCAGGGGCUGCACACGCCUGCGUCCUGCCCGGAGGCCCUGCCAGGCUGCUGGAGGCCUGAUGCCACGUGGGGCCCAGCUCCGAGCACACGCUCCCCUCCCUGUGCCCAGCAGGGACGGCUCUGUGUGGUGCCCUCCGGGAGCAAAGGGCCAAGUGAAGGUGCUGGUCACCCCGCCGGGCUGUGCCCUGUGUCCUCUGAGCACCCUCCAUGUCUCUUCCUCCCUCCCUCAGUCUCCCUGAGAUCCCGGGGCCGGAAGAUCCCAAGGAGGAGGCUGAGAGAGGGCAGAAAGCGUCUGACGAGGCCCAGGGUGCCCCAGUGAAGACGCGCUGGGCUUCAGGUGAAGGUCAGCAGCAGUGAGUUCCAGGCGCCCCUGCCCUCCAGAGCCCCCCAGGCCCAUGCCCGACCCCUGGGCUCCCAGGACUGGCGGGGAAGGAGGCCAAGGGCUCAAGAAGCUAUAAGCUUCUCAGGGCAUCACUGCUGGCCACUGCCAGGUGCGGGGUGGCCUGGGCCUCGGGCUGCACAGUGGGCAGUGGAGGCCAGAGCCGGGGCUGGGAAGGCCCCAGGUGGCAGAGCUGGAUGGUGACCAGCAGCCCAGCACCCGGGCCCAGGACAGGACACUGUGUCUUGAUUAUUUCCAGUCUCCUGACCCCCAAGUAGCGAGGUAAUGUUCCUGUUUACUCCGAGGGCUAGAACAGGAGGCGGGGCGGCUAAGCUGGCCUCCUGGCAUUGCCCCCCAAACUUCAGGUAAGACAGCAGCCACAGGGAGCUAAGAGUCACAGGGGGUGGGAGCCAGGGCUCUGGGGGCUCCAGGGCUUUCGGGACCAGCCCAGGAUGCAGGGAUGUGGCUGGGAGACCCGCCACCGCGGCCAUGAGGCUGAGGACCGAGGGCCACAGCAUCCGGUUCGCCUUGCCUGGCUAAGUGUGGCUUCAUCUUGCCCUCUGGGUGGCGAAGGGACGUUAGCCCGGCCGGGCCCUCAGACGUGGGGGGCAGCUCUGCAUCGGGGCCAGCAGCCUGUGGCUGACCGGGAGGGGCUCCAGGAGUUGCAAGCCCAGCUCCGACUUCUGUGGUCUGGACUCCUGAGAUGCUCACGGAUCUGCCCAAGGGACCUGCCUGGCACCCAGGGCCGGCGUCCCGGGGCCGGGUGAGGGCAGCAGCUCUGUCAGGCAGGACCAGCAAAGGUUUGCUGUGCUUUUUUCAAUGCUAGCAAGGCAAAAGCUGUACUGCCACGCACCCCACCCGCAGUGUUGUUUCCUUUUUGUUUUUAAUAAGCAACACGAGUUGGCACCAACUCGCUGCUGGCACCAACGUGAGAUGCCAGUGUGACUUUCACACGCAAGGGUCUCUUCCCUUAUGGAGAAGCACCCCUCCCCUCCCCCACUCACUCCACACAGACACACAUGGAGGGAGGGCGUGGCACAAGGACCGCGGGUGUGCAGGCAGGGGUGGAGGCUCAGGGACACGACACCCCAGUCUCCACGUGUCUGUGCCGUCACCAGGCCCCUGAGGAAGGAGCCCAGAGCCCUCCCUGCAUCUCCCGAGUGUCACAGAGCCCAGGACAGGAUGUCACUGAGACCUGGGAGGGCAGAGACCCCUGUCUCUCCCUGGCACUUGUGUGACCUCCACCUCAGUUUCCCUAUCUCUGAUACCAAAGGGAGUCCGCAAGUACUGUCACCUCCUAUAAGGCCAGGGUAGGGGACAGAGAGCUCAUAUCUGGGGAAACCCUGAUGGGCCCGAAUCUCCCACGUGAGACAGAAGCCAGGGUGGACACCCUGCCUAGCCCGUCUACUUCCCCCCUCUUCCACCAAUAGCUGUGUGGCUUCCGGCAGGUUUCUUGACCUCUCUGGACCCAAGCGUCAGCACUGAGCAGGCUUCUAUCCGGGGACUGACGGGGCUCGGGGUGGUCGGGGACACCUGCACUCCACCCCGAAGCCCGGCCUACGAGGCCACCUCAGGCCACUCCGGGUGGGAAGACGGGGACAGUCGCAGCGCGAGUCCCUCCCCCCACAGUGGCUGUAGAGGGAAAAACAUCAGCCAAAUCACAGCUGAAACUACGUGCAGCGCCUGGAGAGGCUGGGACUGGGGCCGGAAGGGUUGAGAUACUGUGGCCCCAGGGAGAGGCCCCGGGUGCCCAGCUGUGCACAACCUGGGCUCGGGCAUCACCCGGGGCCAGCGUGGUCCCCAGCCCCUCACCCCGCAACCAGGGAGGGCGACGGCACAGGCAGGGCUGUGGGACUUCAGAAGGAGCGGAGGGACACCCAGCGGGGAGUCUCGGGAAGCUGAAAGCCAGGAGGGGGGGGCCCAGGUGGGAGCCGCUGAAGGGGGGCACUGCUUCCGGAAGAAGGCCCUAGGCCCACAUCCCCACGCCCCUCGGUCCAGGCACAUGCCCACAGCGCACACCGCCUCAGCCCGGCCCUCGGCCAUGCCCUGAACCAUGCAGGACACCCAGGCCAGGCGGCCAGCCAGGCCACGCCCCAAGAGAUCAUUUCCCGAAAUCCUCAGGGUCCUGUCAGCGGCAGCUCAGCCCCAGGCUCGCCGAGUCCUAUUGCCCCCUCACACUGCACCCCAGCUGGUCUUGCCCAAGGUGUGGGGUUAAAGGAGGUCAUAGCAAUAGGGAAGCCCCUGCCUACUGCAGGGGCCGGGAGACCCUGGUGGAGAAGGCAGUGAGGGCCCCAGGAGGAAGCCAGUGGACAGUUCUGACACAUAGCUGCACCACGGCUGGAGAUGAGCUGGUGCCAUCAUCCCCACUCCACCUGCCCCCAGCCCAUGUGUCCAGUGACCACGGCCCUCCAACAAUAAAAUGCUGGAGGGGAAUGAGGGAAGCGCCGGCAUGCCCAUGCAGUGCCCCGCGGGGUGCCAGAGCCCCGUCGCGGUCACAGCUGUGUGUGGAAGAGCCCAGCCCUGGGGACACCUGCAAACAGCUGCUUGUCCACAGCCUCUGGGACAUGGGCUGGGCCCCUGCAGGGAGCAAGACUGUCCCCAGUGGAGCGCACGUCCUGACGGGCUCUGAGGAUCGUCUGCAUGUGGCCAGCGUCACAGUGGCAGGGCCAGCAGACGGCGAGCUGCCCAGACCUGUCUGGAGCCCUGCCAGCCUCAGAGUCCUUCAUGGAGAGCCGGGCAUCUGGGAGACCUCGCAGGUCAGCAGGGCCUGGGGCCAGGGAGGAGCCACAGACAGGCGACAGUGAGGAGGAGGUGACAGUGUGGGCACAGGGCCAUCCAGUGCCUGCCCGCACUGUCCCGUGCAUGCAAAACCUCAAUGCCAUUUCACAGAGUGGUGCUCUGAAGCCCAGAGAGAACAGGGUUCUCCGAGGCCUGGAGCUGGCCCCAGGACGGUGCUCGCAGGAACAUGCUGUGGCCAUCCAGCCCUGGCCACUUUGCCUAGCCUGCCUGUGGGGCUCCUCCACGGGAUUCGCAGAAAGGCUGCCCUGCUGCAGCUCGCGGUGCCAGCAGGAGAGCGAGAUGGGGCUCGUCCACUGUGCUUGCUAUGCAGCAGGCCCUCGACCUUUCAAUUUGAAAGAGAUUUGUCUCCUUGGCUGAAGAUUAAACAAUAUGCAGGCAAGAUCCAGUCCUGUCUUGCUCCCCUGGAUAGACGAGUGUACCCCCAAACAAACAUUCCACAAACUCUUAGAGCAGGAAGGGUCUCCCUUCACCCUGAAACAACUCACGGUGCAGAUGAGUUUGGGAAGGGGCUGUGACUUACUAUGUGGCCCUGAGACCCCGGAACCUCCCUCCCCUCUCCCCAGCCCUGGCCCGCUCCAGCCACCUGGCCCACUCCCUGCCCAUCACACUGAAGGACACUGCCCCAAAGAGCCUGACCCAGCUGGGGCUCCAGCCCUGUUCCAUCAUUGAUUGUGAGGUCGCUGCACAUCACUGGGCCUCUGUCUCCCCUUCUAUAGCAUGAGAGAUCCAAGACCUUUUCAUGUCUAGUACUCUGCACUAUGCAACCUAGAAUAGGAAUGCUAGAUCCCCAGCACACAUGCCCUAUCUUGUGAUUUCUGCACUCAUGGCAGACAUCACUAAUCAAUUGCCAAUCUUCACCACCAAGUUCCUAUUACAUAGCAGAGUCCUCAACACAGUGCACAGGUAACCAUUUUCUCACCCACUUAUCAUAGGCACAACUGGGUCUAAAAGACAGGCACACCUACAGCAAGUGGCAAUGAGAGGAACUGCUUCAGAAGGGGCCCUGCAAGGGGCUCUUGCACCAAGCAGGUCUCCCUGGGGGCCUGACAUGCCCACAAAGCCCAGAGAGCUGCACAGAGUAAGAGAGCUGCAGGACACAGCCUUGCCGCCUUCUCUCCUUAGCCUUCCCACUGCCAUUUGUCUGCAGCAGGCCCAGAGGCCCCAAGGGAGACAAGACCAAGGCUCAGACCCCACCAUCCCUCCAGGGCGGCCCAGGCCCCUGCAGGGCCUCUGAUUCCUCCUGAAGCUGAGCUGAGGUCCCGAGGUCAGGCACGGGAGCCUGGGUGUCCUGUGUGUGGCCCGAGCUGGGGCAGGGCUGGGUCUUGGCAGGGGAUGGACCUGCUCCCGCACCCGGCAUGGCAGCACGGCCUUGCGCCGGCUCACUCCUCACUCCACCAAGGCGGGCAGGUGGGGAGCAGGGCUGAGGCUCCGCGCCCACCCCUGCCAGCUUGUACUUAAUUAUAAUGAUAAACGGUGGCAGGCGUCCACGGCCACGUUGCGGAACAUGACAAACACUCCGCAUCUCGGAGCCAGCCGGCUGGGCUCCCACUCCCUGCACCCCUGCACAGUAGGUGAAGGUUAUGCGAGGCCACGAGGCCCCUCCCCUGCCCCAGGCUGGACCCAUGGCCACUGGAAGCUGGACCUGCACCCUCACCCAGCCCAGGCUCCCUCACACCCAGGCUCAGCUCCUCCCAGCAACCUCAGGAGGACUUGUGUCAAAACUAGGAC
rnacentral:lncRNA from 1 species